rnacentral:rRNA from 1 species
GACGAACCGUGCGAACGUUGUUCGGAAUCACUGGGCUUAAAGGGCGCGUAGGCGGGUCACCAAGUCCGGGGUGAAAUCUUUCGGCUUAACCGGAAAACAGCCUUGGAUACUGGUGACCUCGAGGGAGGUAGGGGUCUGUGGAACUUCUGGUGGAGCGGUGAAAUGCGUUGAUAUCAGAAGGAACGCCGGUGGCGAAAGCGACGGACUGGACCUCCACUGACGCUGAGGCGCGAAAGCUAGGGGAGCAAACGGG